rnacentral:misc_RNA from 1 species
GGUUGGAUCAUUACCGUAUUGCCGCGCGCGACCGCGCGUGCGCAAAACAAAAACCAAAACGUGUAACCGUCGGCGACGGGGCUGGUCGGACGCGAUCGGUUUCGGCGCGUUGUACCGUUUUUUAAACCGCGUAACCCGAAAAACCAAAAACCAAAACAACCAAAAUAACCAUCAGCGGUGGAUGUCUUGGCUACCAGUUCGAUGACGAGCGCAGCUAAUUGCGAUAAUUAAUGUGAAUUGCAGAGUCCGCGAAUCAUCGAGUUCUUGAACGCACUGCGGCGGGCGACUUCGGUUUCCUGCCAUACUUCCUUCAGCGGGUGUCGAUAUCUGGUUGCAGACGCGCACCGAUUGGCUGAGGCGAGAGCAAAAAAGCGCGGGACGUCGCGCGCUCUCUCUGAAGCCUAAGUCUAGACGCACGCGCUCGGACUCGAGCGCGAGCGCGCUAGUGCGACACACUAGUAGCACUGUCGCGACGGCGGCAGAGCGCGCGCCAUGCACCCAGACACGCACUGUCUGUCUCGUUGGUGGGCUGCGACCGCAGCACGCCAGUUCGGUCGGAAGGGCGGAUAUGGGCAAUGUGCGGCAUGCGCGGGCGAAAGGUGACAGCACGCAUGACUAGCCCCUGAAGUGAAGUAAGACGACCCCGGGGAUUUAAGCAUAUCAAUACCGGGAGGAAAAGAAACUAACUAGGAUUCCCCCAGUAACUGCGAGUGAAGAGGGAAGAGCCCAAGCUGAAUCUGUCCGGCUUCGGCCGGACCGAAUUGUAGUUUUGUGAACGGAGCCUGGCUGGCAGGGACCUUAAGUCUUCCUGGAACGGAGCACCAUAGAGGGUGAUAGUCCCGUUGGGUCCUGUGCCGGCCGUCAGGGUUCUAGUUCGGAGAGUCGUACUCCUUGAGAUCGGAGUGCUAAUUUGGGUGGUAAACUCCAUCUAAGGCUAAAUAUUGGCUGGUAGACCGAUAGUGCACAAGUACCGUGAGGGAAAGAUGCAAAGAACUCUGGAGAGAGAGUUAAAAGUACCUGAAACCGCUGAUGGGGAAGCGGUCGGCUGGGCCGAUCGGUGCCGCAGUUCACCCGAGCGAUGUAGGAGCGAGAUCGUUUGGACGGGGCCUCGCGCUCUGCCAGCGGUCGUAGCUCCGAGACAGCUCGGGGUACUCUGAGGCAUCGACCAGCGGGAGCUGAGCAGGGGGCAAAAUGGGCGUUCGGGAAAGCAGGGUCGCCUGCCUUACCGAGCGCUUGACUGUCCUCCCGCUCGGCUAACCCUGCGUCUUGAUGAGGGAGCCGCAAGGCGGAGGAAUAGCGCGGCUAGGGCGGGUUCAGCUUGUAACUGCGUGCAGUUGCAGGCUGGGCUGUUUUAGUCGCGUGGCUACUCCUUCCCUCACAUGCCGCUGGAGGCAAAGUCGACUGUCCCGUCUUGAAACACGGACCAAGGAGUCUAACGUCCCGCC